rnacentral:lncRNA from 1 species
UUCCGACUUGUUCUCUUCUCGCCUUCAGAUGGCUUCCUGGGUUCUUGUGUUUCUCUAAUUCUAGUAGAGAAAGGAUGACAAGAAUCUCGAUGUGAGUUUCAGAAGAAAACGAAUUCUCCAUCACCUACACCAAGAUGUUUCCUAGAAGCUCCAGGAGAAAUUGGGUCUCCCUGGAUGCCCAGUUUUCUAUCAAAAUGAGAUCUAAUGCUUUGGAAGCAUUAUCUCAGCGAGAUAGACCCCACCUACUCUACACACUGUUAAAAGAAAACCCUGGAGACGUAACACCUUUCUUUUUUAGCUAGCCAGCUUCCCGUGGACAUUAUAUAAUUGCUGUUAAUCAACAGAAUGGCCAAUGUUAGUCUUAAAAGAACCUUGUUAUCCAAAUUUUUGGGGAGAUUUGGAAAGGUCCAUUAUCAAUGUUCAGCUCAUUGUGGUGUGGAUCCUGUGAAAUCAUGAAGUGCAAGAGAAGUAUUUGAGGCACAGCAAACUUGUGGACUUCCCCCCGGUACAUAAUUGUAUAUUCUUCGUUGUGGGUUCUUCUAGCUGUGGCAUGUGGGACGCUGCCUCAGCGUGGCCUGAUGAGCAGCGCCAUGUCUGCGCCCAGGAUUCGAACCAGCAAAACACUGGGCCGCCUGCAGCGGAGCGCGCGAACCCAACCACUCGGCCACGGGGCCAGCCCCAAGUCUGGCUUUUUUAGCUGUGGAUUCAAGAGAUGCUGUAUAGCUGAGUUUACUUUCUGAGGAAAGGCCAGUUUUGUGUGGCAGUCUCUGGAAAUUUGUUUGGAACAUAUAAAAUUCUCUUGUCAUGUGAAUUCUGGAGAUCUGUGGGAAAUACAUUUAAUCACAUUGGGUGAGAAUAUUCCUUUUUGUGUGAGUUCUUCGUGAAUUGACAGUGCUUUUUCUCACUCAAUGAUAAUUCGUGGAGUUCAUUCCACAAAAAUGCCUAUGGUGUAUUGUCAAAUAAAGAGGAGGCUGCAAACAGUAUUUAUGGUAUAUAAUCUUAUGUACACAUGAAAUUUUAUGUAUGUGUGUGUGUGCAUAUGUAUAAAAAAGAAAGAAAUCUUGAAGGCUGUUAAUAGUUAACUCUGGGUGGUGAGUUUUGGGAGCUUAUUUUCUUUGCAUAGUUUUUUAGAUUGCUUUAUUUUUUUUGAUAUUAUGAAAUGUGUCAUACAUUUAAAGGAGGACAUAUGACAGUUUAAAGAAUAAUAAUAUAAUGACUACCCACUGCCUAGCUAAAAUAAUAGAAUAUUACUUUGUUUUGGAAGCCAAGCCUUCCUUCCUCCUCUGCCUCUUUCAUGGAGGUAAUUACCUGCCUGAAUUUUGUAC